UGCAUUCACUACUGUAAGUCGCUCUGGAUAAGAGCGUCUGCUAAGUGAUGAAAA
rfam:Salmo salar isolate Sally breed double haploid chromosome ssa02, whole genome shotgun sequence.